rnacentral:misc_RNA from 1 species
GACGAACCGUGCGAACGUUGUUCGGAAUCACUGGGCUUAAAGGGCGCGUAGGCGGCGAGUCAAGUCGGAGGUGAAAGUUCCCGGCUCAACCGGGAAAGUGCCCCCGAUACUGGCUCGCUCGAGGGAGGUAGGGGCACGCGGAACUUCCGGUGGAGCGGUGAAAUGCGUAGAUAUCGGAAGGAACGCCGGUGGCGAAAGCGGCGUGCUGGGCCUCUUCUGACGCUGAGGCGCGAAAGCCAGGGGAGCAAACGGG